rnacentral:misc_RNA from 1 species
CUGCUGCUGCUUUAACGUUUCUAAUAACUGAAAGAUCAAAGAUGAGUCAAAUCAAUGUUAGCCAUUUCUCUGGGAUAACUAGGCAUAUCUGUGUUGGUAGCUUAACAUGCAAGUUUCAGUUAUAAUUCAGAUUGCAAAUCCCCUGUAAAUCAUGAGUUAAAUCAAGACAGAGGAAAUGAAUAUGGUAAAUCGCAAAUAUUCUAUUGAUGAUAUAAAUUUCUAUGUUUAUGCGUAAACAGUGAUCUGAAUUUCGAGAAUCUGAUAAUCCUGUGUACUGCUAUGUCUAUGCAGAUGCACAAAGUGCUGAUACCAUUCUUUAUGGCACUAGCUGUGACACCCUGCAUUCUCGGCUUUGAAGGAACGUUGCU